GGCUUGAUAGAGCUGCCUGGACAGGUGAUGGGAUUGGAUAUUGCCGCCCCACGUUCUCUGCCAGGGCAAGGCUGGAUUGAUUGCAUUAUUUAGAGUAAGCAAAACCCCCAAAAGCGAAGUGCUUGACUUUCAGGCUUUUCCUUCCAAAGGGGAGAGCUGAUGGCAGUUUAAUUUAAAAAGGGAGGCGGGGGUGACAAUGGAAUAUUCAAUCCAUGGUCAAUUCUCUGUUCUACAGGAUUUCAUUUUUGCUUACUUUCCAUGAAGUUGCUUUCAUUCAUGAUGUCUAGCACACGCUCUUGCCAGGAUGGCUGUGUGGAGGCUGGUGACAUUUGUAAGAAGGAGCAGCUGGAGGCUAAGGCAGCUGUGGUUUUUAACUAGCAGUCAGUGGAACUGGAGGUUUUCUAGGAGGUUAGCAGAGAAGGCUGGAAACUAAUUUCAGAAGGUCUGAUAUUUUAUUUUUCUAGUCCUUUAUUUUUGUUUCUAACAAGACUUAGCAUUAGAAAGAUCUAAAUGUUAGGUUAACUAAUGUAUAGAGGGAACCCAGAUUGUCGUAAUAAAAAAUAUAAACUGAGGAGUUCCUGUUGUGGCUCAGCAGAAACAAACAGGACUAGUAUCCAUGAGGAAGCAGGUUCAAUUCCUGGCCUCGCUCAGUGGGUUAUGGAUCCAGCAUUGCCAUGGGCUGUGGUGUAGGUUGCAGACACGGCUUAGGUUUGGUGUUGCUGUGGCUGUGGUGUAGGUCGGCAGCUGAGGCUCCAAUUCGACCCCUAGCCUGGGAACCUCCAUAUGCCAUGAGUAUGGCCCUAAAAAGAUAAAUGUAUCAUAUUUACACCAAAAUGGAAAGAAACCUUCCCUAUGGAUCAAUGUGGAACUCCAGCCGCAUAUGCAACCUGUCUUGCAGAUCGUGGCAAUGCUAGAUCCUUAACCCACUGAGUGAAGCCAGGGAUCGAACCUGCAUCUUCAUGGAUCCUAGUCAAGUUCUUAACUCACUGAGCCACAAUGGGAACUCCUUAACUUCAUUUUCAACCCUUGUCCCUCCUCAAGAGAAUGAAGGGUAGGGGUGACGAUUCCAAGCUUUUAGUCCUGGUUUCUUUCCGGUGGCCACCCCUUAUUCAGGAGCUCUUCAGAAGCCCACUCGGAGAAACGUCAUUAGAACAAAAUGUAUUCCUAUCACCCAGCAAAUUGCAGGGGUUUCAGAGGCCCUGGCUUGGGAAUCAGGGGCAGAGACCAAUAUUUUUUUAUUAUUUCACAGCCUAGAUGACCCCUCUCCCAAGAAUGCCUCUGUGGGAGAAAGAGCUCCUUGAACCGUGAUUACUUUCUUGAUGGUCCCACAGUGUCAGUGAACUGUGAUGAGGGCAGGAUGGGGAAGAAAGAGGCCAGGGAGUGGGUGAUGCUGGACCAGUCACUUUAGACUAUUCUCUCUCUGCUCCAUUUCCAUCCCUAUUCCUCACCUUCCAGUCACCCACUGAAACACCUCUAGGGGUCAGGGACAGCACGGACCCUAGGAGGGUCCCUGAAACACCACUCCUGGCCACCCUGCACUGCUCUUCACCAAAGGGCAGCUCUCGAUGGACAAGAAAAGGCCCAGACUAUUGCAAUCCAGUCUCUGUAAAAAUAUCCCGGAAGAAGUUCUCUCCAAACUUCUGUUGAGGCUCCUUCCUUUAGACGUGAUCGAUGGCGCCUUUUUCUUGGCUGAAAUUCAAAGAAACCUCUAACACGAAUGAGGAAACACUUUCAAUCACUUUGCAAUCCACAGCUUGUCUCUCCUGCUUCUCUAAGGUUAUUGCAUUAUAUUUAGAAUGUUUACUUAAAAAGUGUGUAGGGCUGACCGGAGCUGAAUCUCUGUGUCUUUCAUUAGAACACAUCCACAUUUUCUAGCACUGGGGGCCACUGGCAGGAUGCUAAAAAUAGUCCACCGAAUCCUCUCCUCCACCAGAAGGAUGGAGAAAACAGAAGAAGAGAGAAAACAGAAACUCCCUCUUGACCCCUCUCCCUGAAUUCCUCCUGCAACGGAGUGAAGGUUUUGCUCCAGGAAUAAAAGUUCUUUGCCUUGAAAUGAGGGCUAACAAGAAACUGGCACCUUCAGUCUGUUUCUGUGAAGCCGAAGGUGACAUGAGUGUUCUCGUCACACACUUGCUCUAAAACGCUAGCAACUUGACAUUACUUGCAGGACAGAGGCUGGAUGUCCUGCAUUUCAUUUCUGGGUUGCUUUUUAAUCAGUUCCAAUCACCCUGCGUUUCCCCUUCUGUUCUCGAAUUUUCACUUUCAGACUCAUCUCAUCAGUGUCCCCCAAUUCUUGCUGUUUUUCUGGUCCUUUGAUCACACUACUCUUUUCCAAACACCCGACUUCUUUUUUUUUAAACCGGUUUGGUUCAGCUCAUCUUUCCUGGAAGAACACCAAGCUCCCCUUCCAGAAAAGCCUGCCCUGACUUCCCAAAUUAUGAAGAAAUUUCCAGCCUCCUGCAGGACUCGACAGCAUUCUGCUCUUUCUGACGCUUAGCAAAUGAGAGUCUUACACAGGUAAUUUAUCUUUUAGAUGUGUGCAAGUUUUACUUUCUUAAUAUCUUGCAAACUUCUGGGAAUGUCGACUGUGUGUUUUAGUCUCUGUAUCUGAUGUAGCCAUUGACAAACAGUAGGUGCUUAAUUAGUGUUUAAGGAUUGCUUUAGGAAUCCUUGCUCUGUUUCCAUAGGGUGAAUUGAACAUACAUAUCAGCCAGGCCAGGGGGAGAACUCUCCAGGGUUUUUGUAAAGUGGUGCUUGAUAAAUGUUCCUUUUCCCCUAAAAUGCUUGUAGAGGGAUGUGAUGGGUGUUGGGAGGAGGAAGGUCACCUCUGUGGUUUAAAAAGAAAAAGAAAGAUAUUUCUUUGUACAGUAUCCUCACUGAGUCACAAGACCCUUGAACAUAUUAAAGGUGCUCAGAAAUCCUGCAGUAAAGAAAGCUCUUUUAUUUUGUUGAGUUUACCAUCUCCCAAAUUAAGUUGACUGUGGUACUCUUUUUAUUUUCAUUUUUCUGAGAAGUAAAUGACCUUUCGCAUCCACAAACACUAAAUGUCUUAGUCAGCUCGCUGGUUUAAACAACAGAAAUUUAUUUCUCACAGGUCAGGAGGCUGGGAGUCCAAGAUCAAGCCUCCAGCAUGGUUGGGUUUUUAGAAAGAGCCCUCUUCCUGGCUUAUAGAAGGCCAGCUUCUCGCUUUGUCCUCACCUGACAGAGAGAAAGAGAGCUCUGGUCUCUCUUCCUCUUCUUUUAAGGACCCUAAUUCCACCCCCAGGAUUUCAAUUAAAUCUAAUUGGCUUCCAAAGCACCCCCCCGCCCCCACCCGCUGCCGCCGCACCAAAAAAAUACCAUCACAUCAGAGGAUAGGGUUUUGAUUUCUGAAUGUGGGGGAAGGGUGGCCCAAACUUUCAGUCCACAACACAAAACCUCUGUCGAACACAUUUUGAAAGAAUCUUCUUCCUCUCAGGCUUUCCAGCUACCUUCCCUCCAAGCCACACUUUCAGUGAGCUUUUCUCAUCUGUGACUGACAUGGUCUCUUGGGUAAUUGGAUUUCAAUACUCUGUGAAGGGUUUAUUAUUUUGCCCAGUUUGCACUCUGAACAAGUGCCUCCCAUUUCUGAGGUUCUGUUUUGCAUCCUUUUCCAUAGGUCCGAAUGAGGAUCAGGGCAUCAAUCAAUAUUUCUGGUAACUGAGGUAACCACAAGAUGUAAAGUAGACAAUUUUUUGUUCUCCUGCCCUAUGUGAACAUUUUAGAGGUUUUCCUAGUCCAAUCGGAUUUUUAAAAAACACACAUGAAGUAAUGAAGUACUUGGAAAGCGAGUAAUAUGCCCACAAGUUGGGGUAAAGUUGGAGGUAAAUCCAAGACUUCUGGCUGCCAGGUAAGUGGCCUUUUCCAUACCUCUCUCUAACUUCUCAAUCGUGUGGCAUUGCCCAAGUCUGAAAUUUUCCUUAAUCUCUUGAAGUCAGCUUAGAUCAACCCAAACAGGAAAGAAAGUUACAUCUCAUUUCUGGUAAUCUGUACAAGAGGUUUCUGUACUGGGUUCCCUGUAACCAGACCCUUCGAUUCUUCUUUGCAAGGAACACUUUUCCUUCCCCCUCAAUCUGCUCGGCCUCCUGUGGGUGUUUCCAAGGCAAAGUCCCUUGAAAAAGGUGGCACUCAAGACAAAACCCAGUUCUCCAGAUGUGACCAGACUUGACAAAAUGCAGUGGGGCUCUUCCUGCUCCCUUACCCCAGGCCCACUGCUUCUCUUGCUGUGGGAGAAGGGUGUUACUCUUAGUGGAUCCAGAUAUUCUUUUCAUUAUGCUUUUGCCUGCCUCCAGACCUACUUGCUAUCUCUUAGCCUGGGGUUUGCUUUUUCUUUUUUUUUCUUUUCAUAGCUACACCUGUGGCAUAUGGAAGUUCCAGGGCCAGGGGUCAAAUCAGAGCUUCAGCUGCAGACUUACCCACAGCCACAACAACAAUGGAUCCAAGCCACAUCUGUGACCUGCACCAUGGCUGUGGCAACACCAGAUGCUUAACCCACUGAGCAAAACCAGGGGUCAAACCUGCAUCCUCACAGAGACAGCAUUUGGGUCCUUAACCCCCUGAGCCACAAUGGGAACUCUUAACCUGGGGUUUUGAGCCUUCCCACCAUUUGGUUCCUCUCCAAUUUAAUUUAUAACAUCUUUUGCUACAUCCCAGCUUUUGUCCUCUUGUCAGUCAAGCCUGCCUUACAUUUCCCUGUAUCUGCUUCUGCUUCACUUAAAAAAAAAAAAAUAAAAA
rnacentral:lncRNA from 1 species